rnacentral:piRNA from 1 species
UAAACUAGGAGACAAGGAGAUUUAGGAG